rnacentral:rRNA from 1 species
AGCGUAUAUUAAAGUUGUUGCAGUUAAAAAGCUCGUAGUUGAAUUUCGGGAUCAGUACGUUGGUCGUGCCUUAGGUACGUACUGGUGUUACUGGUUCCUACCUUCUGACGAACCAUCAUGUCAUUAAUUUGGUGUGGCGGGGAAUCAGGACUGUUACUUUGAAAAAAUUAGAGUGUUUAAAGCAGGCUCGCGCUUGAAUACAUUAGCAUGGAAUAAUGAAAUAGGACGUUGAUCCUAUUUUGUUGGUUUCUAGGAUUGACGUAACGAUUAAUAGGGAUAGUUGGGGGCAUUAGUAUUCAAUUGUCAGAGGUGAAAUUCUUGGAUUUAUUGAAGACUAACUACUGCGAAAGCAUUUGCCAAGGAUGUUUUCAUUAAUCAAGAACGAAAGUUAGGGGAUCGAAGACGAUCAGAUACCGUCGUAGUCUUAACCAUAAACUAUGCCGACUAGGGAUCGGAUGAUGUUAAUUUUUUAAUGACUCAUUC